GGUUAAAAAGCUCGUAGUUGGAUCUCGGCGGGUAGAAGGCGGUACACUGCUAAGUGUUACUGCCUUAUUACCCGUAGUUUUUGCUAGAGGUUUCAGGGUGCUCUUAAUCGAGUGUCCUGGGAUGCUAGCAGGUUUACUUUGAAAAAAUUAGAGUGCUCAAAGCAGGCUACUACGCUUGAAUAUUCGUGCAUGGAAUAAUAGAAUAGGAAGUCGUUUCUAUUUUGUUGGUUUUCGGAAAUCGACUUAAUGAUUAAUAGGGACAGUCGGGGGCAUUUGUAUUCAAACGACAGAGGUGAAAUUCUUGGACCGUUUGAAGACAAACUACUGCGAAAGCAUUUGCCAAGAAUGUUUUCUUUAAUCAAGAACGAAAGUUAGAGGUUCGAAGGCGAUUAGAUACCGCCCUAGUUCUAACCAUAAACGAUGCCAGCUAGCGAUCUGCGGACGUUUUUUUUGUAGACUCCGCAGGAAGCUUCCGGGAAACCAAAGCGUGUGGGUUCCGGGGGAAGUAUGGU
rnacentral:rRNA from 1 species